rnacentral:rRNA from 1 species
AUUGAACGCUGGCGGCAGGCCUAACACAUGCAAGUCGAGCGAGCGGCGGACGGGUGAGUAAUGUAUGGGGACUGCCCGAUAGAGGGGGAUAACUACUGGAAACGGUGGCUAAUACCGCAUACUAUCGGAUAACCCAUAUGGGAUUAGCUAGUAGGUGGUGUACAGGCUCACCUAGGCGACGAUCUCUAGCUUGUCUGAGAGGAUGAUCAGCCACACGGGUACUGAGAUACGGAGCAGACCUCUACGGAGGCAGCGGCGGGGAAUAUUCCACAAUGGGCGGUAGCGUGAUGCAGCCAUGGCGCGUGUAUGAAGAAGGCCUUAGGGUCGUAAAGUAUUUUAAGCGGGGAGGCGUUACCCGCAGAAGAAGCACCGGCUAACUCCGUGCCAGCAGCCGCGGUAAUUC